rnacentral:rRNA from 1 species
AACGAACGCUGGCGGCAUGCCUAACACAUGCAAGUCGAACGAGAUCUUCGGGUCUAGUGGCGCACGGGUGCGUAACGCGUGGGAAUCUGCCCUUUGGUUCGGAAUAACAGUUGGGAACGACUGCUAAUACCGGAUGAUGACGAAAGUCCAAAGAUUUAUCGCCAGAGGAUGAGCCCGCGUAGGAUAGCUAGUUGGUGUGGUAAAGGCGCACCAAGGCGACGAUCCUUAGCUGGUCUGAGAGGAUGAUCAGCCACACUGGGACUGAGACACGGCCCAGACUCCUACGGGAGGCAGCAGUGGGGAAUAUUGGACAAUGGGCGAAAGCCUGAUCCAGCAAUGCCGCGUGAGUGAUGAAGGCCUUAGGGUUGUAAAGCUCUUUUACCCGGGAUGAUAAUGACAGUACCGGGAGAAUAAGCUCCGGCUAACUCCGUGCCAGCCGCCGCAGUAACAC